rnacentral:rRNA from 1 species
AUUGAACGCUGGCGGCAGGCCUAACACAUGCAAGUCGAGCGAGCGGCGGACGGGUGAGUAAUGUAUGGGGACUGCCCGCUAGAGGGGGGUAACUACUGGAAACGGUGGCUAAUACCGCCUACUGUCGGAUAACCCAUAUGGGAUUGGUUAGUGGGUAAGGUAAUGGUUUACCUAGGCACCGAUCCCUAGCUGGACUGAGAGGAUGAUCAGCCACACUGGACCUGAGACACGGCCCAGACUCCUACGGAGGCAGCAGUGGGGAAUAUUGCACAAGGGGCGAAAGCCUGAUGCAGCCAUGCCGCGUGGAUGAAGAAGGCCCUAGGGUUGUAAAGUACUUUCAGUCGGGAGGCGUUACCGACAGAAGAAGCACCGGCUAACUCCGUGCCAACAGCCGCGGUAAUUC